rnacentral:rRNA from 1 species
GUGGGGAAUCUUGCGCAAUGGGCGAAAGCCUGACGCAGCCAUGCCGCGUGAAUGAUGAAGGUCUUAGGAUUGUAAAAUUCUUUCACCGGGGACGAUAAUGACGGUACCCGGAGAAGAAGCCCCGGCUAACUUCGUGCCAGCAGCCGCGGUAAUACGAAGGGGGCUAGCGUUGCUCGGAAUUACUGGGCGUAAAGGGAGCGUAGGCGGACAUUUAAGUCAGGGGUGAAAUCCCGGGGCUCAACCUCGGAAUUGCCUUUGAUACUGGGUGUCUUGAGUGUGAGAGAGGUAUGUGGAACUCCGAGUGUAGAGGUGAAAUUCGUAGAUAUUCGGAAGAACACCAGUGGCGAAGGCGACAUACUGGCUCAUUACUGACGCUGAGGCUCGAAAGCGUGGGGAGCAAACAGGAUUAGAAACCCGGGUAGUCC